UUUCCGUAGGUGAACCUGCGGAAGGAUCAUUACAGAUUGUUAUCACAAUCUCUCUAUUAUUCUCUCCCCUUUGUGCACCUUAUUGCAUGGGCUUAGUAGUGGUCUGUUGUAGUGACACAGAAGUGGUACUACACACUGCAAAAAGCUUAUGUGAUUUUACUUCAAAUACUAUACACUAUCUGUAUGGCAUUGUUGUGCAUAUUUAUGAGCAUAAUGAAAUAUACAACUUUCAGCAAUGGAUCUCUUGGCUCUCGCAUCGAUGAAGAACGCAGC
rnacentral:misc_RNA from 1 species